CCUCAUUUUAUAGAUGAGGAAACUGAGGCUAUGAGAGCUUAAGUAACAUGCCCAAGGUGAGACAUUUUCAGGGCAUGGCCUCAUGUAACAGCAGAUGAAGUCACCAGACCUUCCAUCAAAGUGGAAAUGACCCAUUAUUCACCAGGGAGGAGCAGAGCAGUGUCUGCACAAGCAGGGAAGCUGGGAGGCAUCGUGCUCUCCUGAUCCCGUCAGCCACAUCACCUGUCCACUAUACAGGCCCUGGCCUGAUGGCCACUGCCCCUGCUCCAUGGGCACAAUGAUUUAGAUGGAUUAUCUCAUUUUCUUCCUGUUUUGCAGAUGAGGACAUCGGAUUCCCCACAGAAGUUAGGCUUCUUAUCCGAGGUUACACAGCUCAGAGAGGAAAGAGGAGAUUAGAACGAGGUGUACCAACUCCUAGUCUGGUGCAAAAUAGGACCCCAAGUUUCCAUCAGCACCAACUUCUCAAGAAAUCAGUGUGAUUGCCUGGAAGCAGGACUAAGAUGAAUGUCGCUCUGUUCGAGGUUUUCUUCACGUCUGCAAAGGAGAUGAAAGAACAGGUGUCACCUGCCCAGGCUGAAUUUGAAGGGUUCGAACUGCAGGCCUCAAAAGUAUCACGCUUCUGUUUAUUUCUCCUGAGACCUUGUGCCUUCUCCUCACUGGCCACUUCCCGAAUCAGUCCCAAGAAAAAUGUACCCCAGAAUUGCCUGGGCACUUCAUUAGAGACCAGCUAGUUGUUUCCUGGGGGGGGGGGGGUCAACCUGAUUUACAUCCACUACUGAGCAAGAUCCAUUCCUCUGAAGAAAGAACCCCAGGAUCAGAAGCAGUGUUCAUGAUAUACUUCUAAAUUUAAAAACCAGAUUACAAAAUAAUACGUAAGUUAUGAUAGUAUUUGGGGAGAAAAAAUAACAAUAACAGUUCAUGUUUUUUGAGUGCUUAUUAUGUGCCAGACAUGGUGCUACCCAUUAAUCUUCAGAGAGACACAACGAGGCAGCUAUGGCAUGAGUUAGGAAUGGCCCGAGG
rnacentral:lncRNA from 1 species